AGUGAACGCUGGCGGUAGGCCUAACACAUGCAAGUCGAACGGCAGCACAGGAGAGCUUGCUCUCUGGGUGGCGAGUGGCGGACGGGUGAGGAAUACAUCGGAAUCUACUCUGUCGUGGGGGAUAACGUAGGGAAACUUACGCUAAUACCGCAUACGACCUACGGGUGAAAGCAGGGGACCUUCGGGCCUUGCGCGAUUGAAUGAGCCGAUGUCGGAUUAGCGAGUUGGCGGGGUAAAGGCCCACCAAGGCGACGAUCCGUAGCUGGUCUGAGAGGAUGAUCAGCAACACUGGAACUGAGACACGGUCCAGACUCCUACGGGAGGCAGCAGUGGGGAAUAUUGGACAAUGGGCGCAAGCCUGAUCCAGCCAUACCGCGUGGGUGAAGAAGGCCUUCGGGUUGUAAAGCCCUUUUGUUGGGAAAGAAAUCCAGCUGGCUAAUACCCGGUUGGGAUGACGGUACCCAAAGAAUAAGCACCGGCUAACUUCGUGCCAGCAGCCGCCGUAA
rnacentral:rRNA from 1 species